GCAUUGGUGGUUCAGUGGUAGAACGCUCACCUCCCACGCAGGAGACUCAGGUUUGAUUCCUGGCCAAUGCA
rfam:Callithrix jacchus chromosome 5, whole genome shotgun sequence